AUUGUAAAGGUUCAAUUGUAAAAUUUAUCAUGAAUGUGUUAGAUUAGAUCUAAAAGAAUAUUCAUGAUUUAUUUUGAUUGAGUUAUUUUUUGUUAUGUAAUUAGCAAUAGGAUUGCUGUUUAUGAAAUGUGCUGAUCCAUUUGUGAAAUAAGUCAACAUAUUUGAUGAACAGAAAAUAAAACCUUUCAAAUUUGAAAAUUAUUUUCGAAAUACCAAACCCUGACCCAUCAGCCCAAAUACUUAAUUAAAAGAUUUAAGUGUUGUCUAGUUGGUCUAGAAUUGUGAAUUAAGAUCUAUGACAAUUGCAUAAACUUGUGGGUCAAUGGGUUAGAUGAAUUAGGUCCAUAAUUGGGUUAGACCUAAGGUUAGCUUAAAGAAAUGGACUAAAUUAGAGUAAUUGGUCAAAUCUAAUCAAAAGUAAUUAGAUUAGGUCAAGGAUACUCUAGACUCAACUCCAAUAGUUGUAGUUGAAUGGGUCCAUGUCUUUAACUAGACCAAGAUGGACUUAAUUCAUGGCUACGCGGUGGAAUCCUAUUUACUAAGUUGAUCAAAUUAAAACUAAUAAACCGAUUGGUGUCUAAGGUAAAUUCGGCAGUCUGACCAGUGGUUUUUAAGUGAGAGCUACUCGCAUUGAUUCGAUCUCUGACGAGUUAAUGGCAUAUCCCCACCACUGAUCUCACUUACCUGGCCAACCUAGUGAGUUAGGUUUUGAUUAGAUCACUUGGUGAUUAAGGCUCACCCAUGUCAUUAGGUAAAUCAGUGUGACUGAUUUAGGUGCUCCUAAUGCCGGCUUUAAUUAAAUCCUUUUUAAUCUGACUUGGUGAAGUCAGUGGGAGGAUUAAAAUUAGCUGAUUAAUUUCUUCUCUUCUAUCCUUUAAUAAAAUUCUCAAAAAUCAUUAGGUCC
rnacentral:lncRNA from 1 species